UCUGGAGACAGGUGCUGCAUGGCUGUCGUCAGCUCGUGUCGUGAGAUGUUGGGUUAAGUCCCGCAACGAGCGCAACCCUUGCCUUUAGUUGCCAGCAGUUCGGCUGGGCACUCUAAAGGGAACUGCCGGUGUUAAACCGGAGGAAGGUGGGGAUGACGUCAAGUCCUCAUGGCCUUUAUGACCAGGGCUACACACGUACUACAAUGGCCGAUACAAAGGGCAGCGACACUGCGAGGUGAAGCCAAUCCCGUAAAAUCGGUCUCAGUCCGGAUUGGAGUCUGCAACUCGACUCCAUGAAGUUGGAAUCGCUAGUAAUCGUGGAUCAGCAUGCCACGGUGAAUACGUUCCCGGGCCUU
rnacentral:rRNA from 1 species